rnacentral:rRNA from 1 species
GAUGAACGUUGGCGGCGUGCCUAACACAUGCAAGUCGAACGGGAGUCCGAUUUCGAUCGGAUGAGAGUGGCGGACGGGUGCGUAACACGUAGCUCACCUGCCCCGGAGUGCGGGAUAACG